rnacentral:rRNA from 1 species
AUGAUCGAUUCACAUCUGAUAAGAGAGGGCAGAGGCAAGGAGGAGGAGGAAGAAGAAGAAGAAGAAGCAGAGGGUUUUGCUACGACUACGAUGGAAGAGGAGAAGGCCUUUCCCAGUGACUCGUCAGGUUUCGAGUUCUUCAUCAUCAUGCUCUCAAAUUCCUUGAAGAAACUGAGGAUGCCAGACAAGUUCGCCAAGGUGCUCGCCGGCCGCGAGCCCCGGGAAGUGAAGCUGCGGGAGGCCGGCAGCGGGCGCCGCAGCCUGUGGGACGUGAAGGUGGUGCUGGACGCCGACGGCCACACAUACCUAGGGCGCGGCUGGGAGCGGUUCGCCCGCGCGCACGACCUGCGGCUCGGCUACUUCCUCGUCUUCAGCUACGACGGCGACGCCGUGCUCACCGUGAAGGUGUUCGACGUGAGCAUGUGCCGCAGGCACUACAAGCACCACGACGACGAUGAUGCCAGCAGUGGGAGCAGCAGCGACAGUGGCGGCAGCAGCUCGGCGGAGGUGGAGGUCGACGACGCUCCGACGUCGCAGUUCACGGUCAGGCUGAGCGGCUGCCACUUCCUCGAGAAGCAGCAGCAGUAUCUGAACGUGCCGCUGGAGUUCCAUGAGGCGCACGGGUACGCGGAGAGGAGCAAGGUGGUGCUGCGGAUGAGCGGCAAGUCGUGGGGCGUGACCCUGAAGCACACCAACCGGGCGGGCGGCAAGACCCGGUCGUCCUUCAGGUACGGGUGGCACCAGUUCCUGGUGGACAACCGCCUCACCGUCGGCGACACCUGCUUCUUCCGCGCGCUCCGCGCUGGCGGCGAGGACCACGAGCUCAAGGUGCAGGUCCGCAAGCUGGACGGCACCUUCGUGGAAUGA